AACUAACAUCCGCUACCACUUAAUUACUUUCAGAAUUACAACAAAAAACAUAGCAAUUUGAUUAUAAGUUUUCGAUUGGGGUGAUCACGGAGUAAAAAACAACCUCCACGACGAACGGACUAACCUUCUUAACAAAAAGCGACAGCUUUAUGCAUUAACAUAUUAACGCCUUUGACCCAUUAUUUGAUCAACGAACCAAGUUACCCUAGGGAUAACAGCGCAAUCUACUUCGAGAGCCCCUAUCGACAAGUGGGUUUACGACCUCGAUGUUGGAUCAGGGUGUCCCAGUGGUGCAGCCGCUACUAACGGUUCGUUUGUUCAACGAUUAAAACCCUACGUGAUCUGAGUUCAGACCGGAGUAAUCCAGGUCCUAUAUG
rnacentral:rRNA from 1 species